rnacentral:ncRNA from 1 species
GGUGAAGAUAGGAAGGGCGCACGGUGGAUGCCUAGGCGCCAGGAGCCGAUGAAGGACGGGGCGAACGCCGAUACGCCACGGGGAGCUGUAAGCGAGCGUAGAUCCGUGGAUGUCCGAAUGGGGGAACCCACCGGUCGUAAUGGGCCGGUACCUUGCACUGAAUGCAUAGGUGCAAGGGGGCAACCGGGGGAACUGAAACAUCUCAGUACCCCGAGGAGAAGAAAACAAACGUGAUUCCGCAAGUAGUGGCGAGCGAACGCGGAGGAGCC